rnacentral:rRNA from 1 species
CAGAAGAAGCACCGGCUAACUCCGUGCCAGCAGCCGCGGUAAUACGGAGGGUGCGAGCGUUACUCGGAAUUACUGGGCGUAAAGCGCACGCAGGCGGUCUGUUAAGCUAGAUGUGAAAGCCCCGCGCUCAACGUGGGAGGGUCAUUUAGAACUGGCAGACUAGAGUCUUGGAGAGGGGAGUGGAAUUCCAGGUGUAGCGGUGAAAUGCGUAGAGAUCUGGAGGAACAUCAAUGGCGAAGGCAACUCCCUGGCCAAAGACUGACGCUCAUGUGCGAAAGUGUGGGUAGCGAACAGGAUUAGAUACCCUGGUAGUCCACACCGUAAACGGUGUCUACUAGCUGUUUGUGAAUUUAAUCCGUGAGUAGCGAAGCUAACGCGAUAAGUAGACCGCCUGGGGAGUACGGCCGCAAGGUUAAAACUCAAAUGAAUUGACGGGG